AUUGAACGCUGGCGGCAUGCUUUACACAUGCAAGUCGAACGGUAACAGGUUAAGCUGACGAGUGGCGAACGGGUGAGUAAUGCAUCGGAACGUGCCCGGUCGUGGGGGAUAACACAGCGAACGCUGGGCUAAUACCGCAUACGAUCUGAGGAUGAAAGCGGGGGACCGUAAGGCCUCGCGCGAUCGGAGCGGCCGACGUCAGAUUAGGUAGUUGGUGGGGUAAAGGCUCACCAAGCCAACGAUCUGUAGCUGGUCUGAGAGGACGACCAGCCACACUGGGACUGAGACACGGCCCAGACUCCUACGGGAGGCAGCAGUGGGGAAUUUUGGGCAAUGGGCGAAAGCCUGAUCCAGCAACGCCGCGUGCAGGAAGAAGGCCUUCGGGUUGUAAACUGCUUUUGUACGGAGCGAAAAGGUCUCCUCUAAUACAGGGGGCUCAUGACGGUACCGUAAGAAUAAGCACCGGCUAACUACGUGCCAGCAGCCGCGGUAA
rnacentral:rRNA from 1 species